GGGUAGCUCAGGGGUAGAGCAGUGGACUGAAAAUCCUCGUGUCGGUGGUUCAAAUCCGCCCCC
rnacentral:tRNA from 5 species